rnacentral:rRNA from 1 species
GACAGAGGGGGCAAACGUUGUUCGGAAUUACUGGGCGUAAAGCGCGUGUAGGCUGCUCAGAAAGUCGGAUGUGAAAGCCCUGGGCUUAACCUAGGAAGUGCAUUCGAAACUUCUGAGCUUGAGUUCUGGAGAGGAAGGCGGAAUUCUCGGUGUAGAGGUGAAAUUCGUAGAUAUCGAGAGGAACACCGGUGGCGAAGGCGGCCUUCUGGACAGUGACUGACGCUGAGACGCGAAAGCGUGGGGAGCAAACAGG